rnacentral:rRNA from 1 species
AGUGAACGCUGGCGGUAGGCCUAACACAUGCAAGUCGAACGGCAGCACAGUAAGAGCUUGCUCUUACGGGUGGCGAGUGGCGGACGGGUGAGGAAUACAUCGGAAUCUACUUUUUCGUGGGGGAUAACGUAGGGAAACUUACGCUAAUACCGCAUACGACCUACGGGUGAAAGCAGGGGAUCUUCGGACCUUGCGCGAUUGAAUGAGCCGAUGUCGGAUUAGCUAGUUGGCGGGGUAAAGGCCCACCAAGGCGACGAUCCGUAGCUGGUCUGAGAGGAGGAUAGGCAACACGGGAACGGAGACACGGUCCAGACGACUACGGGAGGCAGCAGUGGGGAAUAUUGGACAAUGGGCGCAAGCCUGAUCCAGCCAUACCGCGUGGGUGAAGAAGGCCUUCGGGUUGUAAAGCCCUUUUGUUGGGAAAGAAAAGCAGCAGGUUAAUACCCCGCUGUUCUGACGGUACCCAAAGAAGAAGCACCGGCCAACUUCGUG